ensembl:lncRNA
AAGUAUGCAGUGCCUUUCGAAUGACAUUUAUCCAAGGUUAUGAUAACAAACAACUGUCCCUCCAGUGAUGCAUUUGUUCCGCACCUCCCAGCCCAAGGCCCUGCUCUCGCUUUUCUUUCAAAUCUCAUUUAGUCUCAGUCAUCUCGGCCAGAAAUUUCCUGCUUCAGAGCAGAAGGGUUUACGGACUCGAGAACUGAGCCAGGAGUCUGGCAUGCGUCCAUCUAGUGCUGUCUGGACUCCUCACUGCCACCUGGUGCCGACAUUGGGAACUGCUCCACUGUUCACAGGGGAGCUGGCCCAGAUGGGCAUAGCUCCUGGCACAACCAGGGCAGAGCCUGCCUCAAGGGACUGCCAGACCAUGACCUAUGGUCCUCAGCACUUUUAAUCCCAUCACAGCCACCCCAGGGUACUAGCCACCUUGGAGUUCUGGGACAAAACUGGAUUUGAUGUUCACUUCUCUCUUUCAAGAGGACUGUCCAGAGUCUCUUUCCCUUACUGAGAGCAGACAUUCUCAGAGGUUAGGCAAUUCUUCCUUCCUGACAUUCAAAUAAGAGGUCUGAUUUCAACUCCUUUCUACUGACAAAGGCUACUCACUUUCUCCUUCUAAGAAAAAGCCUCUUCCUUUCUGUCCUGCACCAAAGGUCUCAUUAUUUCCUGCUUUUACUGCCCAGGAGAACUCUGGCCCUUCACAUGCUCCUGCAGAUAAAGCCGUGUUCCUGGACUCCAGGGAAGCGGAUCCCUUGCCCUUUCUAAGAGAGCGAGGCUGCUCAUUUUACAGGCACUACUUCAAAUAAAAAGACACCAAGAAAUUAAUCUUUAGCAGAAGUGCUCAUUUUCCCACAAAUUCUAACUGAAAUUUUGUCUGCCAAUGAAAAAAUAAAACCACUAACUCUUGUUCCUUGCACAUUUUAUAUAUCUCUCCCAAACAUAUCUUUCUAGAAAUACAAACGGUUAAUUAUUCGAUUGAUGACAUUCACAUUCUAACAAACACAUCAAAAAUAGUUCCUGGACAUCUCAGUGAGUCACUAGAGCGGAUCAGAGAGGAGGAAGGAGAACCUGCCAGCCCCGCCAAGGGGUUACCUGCUGCUCAGCAGACAUAACACAAACACCGGAAGCUGAUCUUUCACACAGGCAGAGGGCACCGCACGCUAAAUGCAAGAACAAACCACGCUUCAGGACAUGAGAGCAGAGCGGUCAUAUGGGUCAAUGGCAUGGAGACACGCAAGAUGUUUGGUCUUGACUUGGGGCUAAAACAAAAGCAGGAUUUAGACAGAGGAGAGAUUGGGGAAUUCUAGCAGGAAAACAGUAGUAAAAAUGUGGAAGGCAAAAAUGUGCUAAACUUCCUGGAGACAAUAGGAAACCUGGGCUGGCUGGAAUAUGGAUUCUAUGUAGAAUACUGGGGAAUAUGGCAAGAAAACAUUAGCCUGGAACACAGUGUAGAUAGCCUGACAUGCCAAGUGACUUAAUAAUGGGAUUUUAUCCUGUAGACAAUGAGAACUCCUUGAUGGAGCCCACACUGCAUGAUGGCUCUGGGUUGGGUUAUUUGCACAUAAUGUCAUGUAUGACCCAAACCUAAUGCAGGAACUCUGAACUAAGGAGUCUUGUUCCCAUGUGCAUGUGUAGGAACUGAAUAGGAUAAGGUUUGCUGCUGCUGCUGCUGCUGCUGCUAAGUUGCUUCAGUCGUGUCUGACUCUGUGCGACCCCAGAGACAGCAGCCUACCAGGCUCCCCUGUCCCUGGGAUUCUCCAGGCAAGAACACUGGAGUGGGCUGCCAUUUCCUUCUCCAAUGCAUGAAAGUGUAAAGUGAAAGUGAAAGCUCAGUCGUGUCCGACUCUUCACGACCCCAUGGACUGCAGCCCACUAGGCUCCUUCGUCCAUGGGAUUUUCCAGGCAAGAGUACUGGAGUGGGGUGCCAUUGCCUUCUCCGAGGAUAAGGUUUAAGGACAUCUAUAUCUUUGAUGCUUUUUCUUGACUUUGAUGAUUAUUUCUCUUAGACUAAAACAAAAUUAACUUUCACAAAAUGUUUAUAUUUUUAGGAUAAACCAGAUAUAGGACUCUAUAGUAGAACCAAGGAGGUCAUUUGUCUCUAAUUAAAAUCAAACCUUAGUCUGAUCUUAAUAUAUCAUUUGUCCCCCCUGCCACUCCCACACACACACCACUAUUUCUCAGAUUUCCCUUCCAAGAAUAUUGGAAAUUUUCAAAGAACAUUAGAAAUUGUUUUAAAGAGAAAGAUAAAUACACAAAGAUAUAUCAUCACCGAAACCCUGAAC